rnacentral:lncRNA from 1 species
AGUGCUGGGCUGUACCCCAGAGCAUGAAUACUCACAUGAAGUACAAGAUACAUAAACAAGAAGAGGCAAAUCUACACAGAAAGAAUUCCAAAUGACUUACAAUGGUGUACCAGAAUUCUAUGCAGUAAAUUUGCCUCAUGGAAUGUGGAAUGAGAAGAGGUGGUGAGGAGAACUCACAGCAGGGAACCCUGACAGACAGCAAGACCAACCCGGAAUCAAAGCAGAAAGUGGCACUGCCACAUCCCCUCCCAAGUUGUGACAGGGUGGCAAGACAUCUUGUCUUCGUGGCCUUCCUCCUGACAUCCUAGGGAACUCAGCCAUGAGAAAAAUCAGCAGACAAACUGAAAUUCAAGGACAUUAUACAAACUACCUAACCCCCUCAAAAGGUCAUCAGAACUGAAGCGGCAGCUCUGACAAACUGAGAACCAACUAUGCCCAAGAAGGCAUGGCAACUAAAACUUCACGAGGGAUCCCGGAACCCAAAGCCCAUGAGCCCAAGGUCAGACUCAAAAGCAGGGGGCCCUUAGCAGGUGAGGAACCUUGGAGUGUGCUGAUUAGCACACAGCAUAAACAUCCAUACACUGAUGUAAGUGGUAAGCAGCACACUCGCUGAAUUCCCACUGAGAACUCAGGCAGGCUGCAGAUGCCUCAGCCCUGCAAAGGAAACACUAACGACAUCCAAACAAAGUUCAGAGUAAGAGACCAGUGUUGGCUUCAAGGCGAUAAAUGUACCAGAGUACUAGAAAACCUUAGCAGUGCCAACAGGGCAUCCUGCGUGACAAUUAUGCAAGUCCUCUCUCUGUAUCUCUGUGCCUUUUGUAUAAAUCUUCAUCUAUUCUAAAGC